GGUAGGCAUGGGAACAGAGGUGGCAGGUGGGUUUUCUCCUACCUUCAACACAGGUGAAUGAAGCCACCGUUCAACGGCCCAUUCUCUGUAGGUUCAGCGCGAGCACAAAGGUCAGCUAAUCCUUCCAUUUCGUCAAUUGGAGGGAGCGCAACGCACUGUCGGUUUGCAUAGAGAGGGGAUGCUUGGCAUAAUAGAGAGGAGUUGGAACUAAUCUGCACUCCCCAGACUAUUGUGUCAAUAUUGGAACUGAGCAACGCCCCAUGCGACAGGUGUCCGCUGGAGAAUCCUCUCUCUUUAAAACCAAUCUGAAAAAAAGAGGGAGAGGGUGAAGAUAAAUGGAAGGAUGGCCCACCAUGUCCCGAGUAUAUAUAGGAUACCUGCAACGGGCCACACUCCAUUCAGUGUUGCCUACAAGAUGAGCACAAUUUGCAGGUGUUACCGAUAUAGGUUUUUAAAAUCCACUCGUGAACUUUUUUUUCGACAAUCGAUAGGCAAUGGUGUGGGGAUGGAGCAACGUAUGGAGAGUACAAAACCUGACGUAGUGUAGUCGAAGUACUUUUUUCCAAGACUGGACCAUCAUAUUUGGAUUGAUUUUCUGUAUUUGCCUCACGUUGAGCCAUACGCACAAUACCUGAAGAUUAAGUUUUGUUCGUUCGGCUCGCGUUAAGCAGGUACGGAUUUUCUACAAAGCAGCAAGAGCACGUUCAUAUUGUGACAGAUGUCGUUGAAGGUGCUCUCUUGUCCUGUAACAAAUACUGACACUUUUGUACACAACAAUUAGAGCCAUACAACAUUUUGUGUUUUGCAUUCGUUUGGCUAUAUUGAAUAUCUUAUGUGGUUUGAACAUUUGGGUUCAUUUCCCCCUGAAGACAACGGAUACAAAUUAUCGACCCCAAUUUUUUUUAGCCAAGUGGAUCAUUUUUAUUGCUGCAUUUGUGGAUAAAAUUUUCGUACCUAUUUUUGAAAAAGUGUAUAUAUAUCACUUCAUUUGCUCACUCAAUAUAACUUAGUAUGCGCGUAUCUCUGUGGAUUUUAUGACUAGUUCUACUUUUAUUAGGUUACCUAGUACUGCCUUCCUUUUUUUUUAAAUGCCAUUUGGUUUUUCCUAUAUCGACAUGGUUUAAUGAUGAUAAAGUACGAGUUAUGUUAAUCAUUAACCAGCCAAAGAGCAUCUGAUAUGGACCAUCUGCUGUUUGGAUCCUCAUCUGCCUGGGAUCUGCACCUCUGUACAGGCUAGGCUACGUUACAUUAACUAUGACGUUCAUGGAGGUGUGGGCUUCAUUCCAGUAAAUGGAGAAUGUAGCCCAAUAAACUAUAGCUCGUCAUAAAAAAAUCACCGCCGUCGCUGGAUAAACAUUUAAGCAGUGUUCUCCAUUGCUCAUGCACUGUAAAACAUGUUGCAUUUCAGUUUAGCACAGAGGCAUCAUACACUACAGGCCUAUCAUUGAAAUCAGACACUUCCAGUUUCCUCCUCAGACAGUAUCAACUGUAUUACCCAAUCUCCCUCCACCCAGAUUAUUGACACCAGUACCUCAGGUAUCUGUAUUGGUCCCAUUCUAUUUUGAGCAUAAAUUCAGGUGUCCAUUUGCAUAUCCAGUUUUUGUUGCGUGAAAUAAUAAACAGUAUGGUAAAGGC